UUUUGACUAGUUUAAGGAAAAUACUAGCUUGUCAAGUUGGAGUUUAAGUUGAUACUCUUAGUCGAGUU
rnacentral:tRNA from 1 species